CCUACGGGUGGCUGCAGUGGGGAAUAUUGGACAAUGGGCGAAAGCCUGAUCCAGCCAUGCCGCGUGUGUGAAGAAGGCCUUCGGGUUGUAAAGCACUUUCAGUGGGGAAGAAAGCCUUGGGGCUAAUACCCUCGAGGAAGGACAUCACCCACAGAAGAAGCACCGGCUAACUCCGUGCCAGCAGCCGCGGUAAUACGGAGGGUGCGAGCGUUAAUCGGAAUUACUGGGCGUAAAGCGCGCGUAGGCGGUCUGAUAAGCCGGUUGUGAAAGCCCCGGGCUCAACCUGGGAACGGCAUCCGGAACUGUCAGGCUAGAGUGCAGGAGAGGAAGGUAGAAUUCCCGGUGUAGCGGUGAAAUGCGUAGAGAUCGGGAGGAAUACCAGUGGCGAAGGCGGUCUUCUGGACUGACACUGACGCUGAGGUGCGAAAGCGUGGGUAGCAAACAGGAUUAGAUACCCCAGUAGUC
rnacentral:rRNA from 1 species